rnacentral:rRNA from 1 species
GACGAACGCUGGCGGCGUGCCUAAUACAUGCAAGUUGAGCGCUGAAGGUUGGUACUUGUACCAACUGGAUGAGCAGCGAACGGGUGAGUAACGCGUGGGGAAUCUGCCUUUGAGCGGGGGACAACAUUUGGAAACGAAUGCUAAUACCGCUUAAAAACUUUAAACACAAGUUUUAAGUUUGAAAGAUGCAAUUGCAUCACUCAAAGAUGAUCCCGCGUUGUAUUAGCUAGUUGGUGAGGUAAAGGCUCACCAAGGCGAUGAUACAUAGCCGACCUGAGAGGGUGGACGGCCACAUUGGGACUGAGACACGGCCCAAACCCCUACGGGAGGCAGCAGUAGGGAAUCUUCGGCAAUGGACGAAAGUCUGACCGAGCAACGCCGCGGGAGGGAAGAAGGGUUUCGGAUCGUAAAACUCUGUUGGUAGAGAAGAACGUUGGUGAGAGUGGAAAGCUCAUCAAGUGACGGUAACUACCCAGAAAGGGACGGCUAACUACGUG